GUAGGGGGCAAGCGUUAUCCGGAUUUACUGGGUGUAAAGGGAGCGUAGACGGCUUGGCAAGCCAGAUGUGAAAGGCUGGGGCUCAACCCCAGGACUGCAUUUGGAACUGUCAUGCUAGAGUGUCGGAGAGGCAGGCGGAAUUCCUAGUGUAGCGGUGAAAUGCGUAGAUAUUAGGAGGAACACCAGUGGCGAAGGCGGCCUGCUGGACGAUGACUGACGUUGAGGCUCGAAAGCGUGGGGAGCAA
rnacentral:rRNA from 1 species